GGCAGUUCUGUGAUCACUCAGGUUUCUGAGGCAGCCGGGGAAGGAGUUGACGAACUCGGACUUCUCCCCUGCCACCCUGGGAGACGUCCCAGGGAU
rnacentral:sRNA from 1 species